rnacentral:rRNA from 1 species
AGUUAGUGGCGGACGGGUGAGUAACACGUGGGAACGUGCCUUUAGGUUCGGAAUAACUCAGGGAAACUUGUGCUAAUACCGAAUGUGCCCUUCGGGGGAAAGAUUUAUCGCCUUUAGAGCGGCCCGCGUCUGAUUAGCUAGUUGGUGAGGUAAAGGCUCACCAAGGCGACGAUCAGUAGCUGGUCUGAGAGGAUGAUCAGCCACAUUGGGACUGAGACACGGCCCAAACUCCUACGGGAGGCAGCAGUGGGGAAUCUUGCGCAAUGGGCGAAAGCCUGACGCAGCCAUGCCGCGUGAAUGAUGAAGGUCUUAGGAUUGUAAAAUUCUUUCACCGGGGACGAUAAUGACGGUACCCGGAGAAGAAGCCCCGGCUAACUUCGUGCCAGCAGCCGCGGUAAUACGAAGGGGGCUAGCGUUGCUCGGAAUUACUGGGCGUAAAGGGAGCGUAGGCGGACAUUUAAGUCAGGGGUGAAAUCCCGGGGCUCAACCUCGGAAUUGCCUUUGAUACUGGGUGUCUUGAGUAUGAGAGAGGUGUGUGGAACUCCGAGUGUAGAGGUGAAAUUCGUAGAUAUUCGGAAGAAC